rnacentral:rRNA from 1 species
AUGUACCAUCUACCGUCGCCCGAAGACCCGUGUACCACUACCGACGCCGUGUACGACUACUUCCCACGACAACAAUUGAACAACUACUUCCACUACGCCCGAAUACCGUGGAUGCGACAAGUUCCUCUCCGGACAUGUACGACUACCAUUGCCAAGAUCGCGAGUACCUCUACCGUCGCCAUGAACAUCUACGAAAACAUGUACCAUCUACCGUCGCCCGAAGACCCGUGUACCACUACCGACGCCGUGUACGACUACUUCCCACGACAACAAUUGAACAACUACUUCCACUACGCCCCGUGA